CUUUGGAAUUCCAUUCUUAAUUUGCGACCGUUUGAAAAACAACUGUAGCAGAGAGCUCUGAAGAGGCCACCAAAGGUGAGCCUCUGUAUGGAGUAAACUUGAUCCUAAUCCUCUCCUUGAUCCGGAGAGGGGUUCCGAGGAGCUGAUCUCUUCACCGGCUCUUCUUUCCACUGUGGCCGUCAAUCUGCCAUUGCUUCCCCAGAAGUCCAGCAGCAUCAAAAGUUGCAUCAUGCCUUGCCUAUCAUCUCACCGUGCUUUGAGACAAGGUCCACAGGAGACUAUGGAAACCAGAAGGAAAGAAAAGGCUUCCUGCCAAAAGAGAAACUGCAUGAAAAUUCCCAACACAAUGGGCAAGAAGAAGAGACAGAGGACCAGCCCUGGAACUCUGAAACCAGCCAAGGCUGCCAAACAAUUUAAGAUGAACUAACUCUUGACUAAAAAGGCUCUUACAGAAAUCCUAAUCUCCUGCAAUUCAGUGGAUUCAACUGGUUUCUCUUCAGACUGCGUAAAUCUUUCACCUUUUACUAAAGAUUUCUAUGGAAGGAAACAUUUGCUUUGUAAUUAUUCAAAGCACUCAAGUAUUAAUAAAAGUCAAGACUGGAACUUCUUCAUUAGCUUUUCCUACAAGAACCUUCCCAUUUAAUUGCAAGUAUUUUACCCUCCAUUAGAGACUGUGUGGUUAUAUGCUAAUGUGUGAAACCACACUGGGUUUUUUUUUUUGAACAACAAUGACAACAAUGCCUUUUCAAGAGAGGAGUAUUCAGAGCACAAUAGUGUCAGCAGGUUGUAAUGAAACUCAAUGUUUUCGCCAUGCUAGAUCAUAUUUUCAGGGGGGCCCUGCAUGGUUUAGACUGAAGUUUACAAAAAGACUCUCUGCCUUGUAGACUGGAGCAGAAGUAUUUAACAGUAUAAAACAGUUGAAACUAAAAGUGAAUGAAGUAAUGGCAUGUUAUAUAACUAUACAAAACAUACAUUAUUAUUUGCUUUUCUAACUUUAAGUUUUCAAGAAAAACCAACAGAAACUACAUAUGUGUGUAUGUGUUAAUGUAUUAGUGGUGACAGCGUGGCACAAUAUUAACAUAAGAAAAAAAAACAUUGUCCUUCUACUUCUGUACAAUAAUUCUUCUGGCCAUCCCCAUGAAGAAAAGGUCCACAAUUCCUGAUAUCCUGGGUAAGUCUAAAUAUUGGAGAUAUAACCAAGAAGAAUAUAUGCAUUGUUGGUAAGCCUGUGGAUUUCCUUCUUUGCUUGCGAUAACACUUCAUAAAGCACAGUAAGUUUUGCAACAUCUCCCUCUGCUGAUAGAACAGCUGCUAUGUUUCUGUGGCAACAUGAAUCAUAUCAAACUGUGUGCCUAUUACACACUUUGAUGCUUCAACCCACAGUCUCUUUACUUCCCUUUUUAUUUUCACUGGCCUAUGUAACAUUUGAUUUACCAUGAUUCUGAAUUAAUGUUCAUUUCAUAUGUAUCAGAUUAGUCAGCCUAAAGCUUUCCUAUAGUUUUUAGGAUCUACUUUAUACAGAGAACUGAUUGAUUGGUUAUGUGCUGUCAAGUCGGUGUCGACUCUUAGCAACCACAUAGAUAGAUUUUCUCCAGGAAUACAGAGGAUGUAUUCUCCACUAUUACAGAAAAUGAAUUUUAACUAUGGAAGAGGGAUAUUUAUUUCUGGAUUCCAGGGAAUGGAGAAGGGGUAAAUUUGCUACUCUUCUCCCCCCACCCCCAGUGGAUCUCUUGAAUUUCUAUUCAUUAAAGUCACCAAACCUCAAACACAAUGAAAUUGGCAAUUCUAAGACUGGCAGUUCAUAUUCACAAAAAUUUGCAACUUGCAAACAUUAUUGAAUAGGUAAGGAGGUUUGAAAUUGUAAUCCAAUAUUUGUGGAAGGCACUAGUCAGAGGAAGCUACAAAAAACAGAAUUAAAAACCUUUCUUGUAAAAAGAAAUGAGUGAUGUGGACAUAUGUAAAUAUAUAUAUUAAAACAGGAAAGUAGAGAAGUAUUUUUAACAGUAAAGAAAUAACAGAUCAGUUGCAUUUCUGCUCUUUUGCAAUGAGUCAAGAACAGAAUUUUGAUCCUUGCACUCUCCAGAGUAUGAAGGAAGGUUAUAAAUCAAAUUAAUGACUACGAUCAUACUCUUCUUAGAAAUUAAUCACUUUUCUUGAAUUGCUAUGCCCUUAAAGCAAGGAGGAAAUUAUAGAGCACUCUAGGCUACAACUGAUUAUCAAGAUACUUGCUUUAAAAUCCCAUAUAAAUGUAACCACAGAAAUCUGUCUACAAGAUUGCUUCAGACACUAUCACAGAAAAGCUGAAACAAACUUAAUGUUACUCUGCCAAGUAUUCGGAUAUUGCCUAAACUGUUCCUGUGCUCGGAAUGGCUUUGAAAUGGUUUUAAUAAUUUAAAACGUUUAAAUACAAGAAAAUUAACAUCUAUAACUGUAUGUAUAUGUAAAAAAAAAAGUCUUAAAAAAACAAUAAAGCUAGCAAAAGAAUACCUCCCUUUCCACUCCUUCCUUUCUAAAACUAGCCAGCUAACCAGCCUUGUUUUCCCAAA